CUUCUCCUCACCCACGCCGCCAUCUCUCCACUUCUCCUCUUCUUCCACCUCCUAAUCCAUCCCAAUCCAUCUAAUGGGAUCCCUCCAACCCGCUGGCCGCUGAUGUGCAUCACCUCAAUCAGAUGAACAGAGAUCCAUUGGUUUGGAUGGCAGUCUGACGGAUACUCGGCGGGCGGGCGGGCGAUUGGAGGCCGUGGAGGUUGGGGGACAGAGACUGGCCGGCGUGUGCAUUGGGGCCAACGGCGGCGAUUGGGCGAGAAGGUCGGAGGAAGUCUUCUGCAACGAGCAAUUUCGUCUUCAGCUUACAGGUAUAUUAAGCAGAGCAAGCACGUUGGUACAGCAGCCAUCCUGCCUAGGGUAGUUGCGCCCCAGGUUCGUAUUGUUCCUACCAUUGUGCUGUACUCUCUCAGGUCUUGGUCCAGAAAUUACUGAAAUUCUUUGAUCCUCAAACUCAAGGCAUAAUUUGAUUUCUUGUGGCUUAAUCGGUGUAAAGGUUUGCUCUCUGAUUUUUUAGAGUAACAUCACUUUAUUCAGAUAGCAACAUCAGUACAUAGAGUAUUCCUAAUAAGUUCAGGGAUUACACCACGAUAGAUCUGACUAGGAGGAUGCUCACAGCUACAAGCUAGUUUAUCUGCUGGUACAUUCGUCAAACGUUUUACAGGAAUAAAAGAGCAAGCUUGAAAACUUGCUGCCAACGAUUUAAUGUCAGCAAUCACCAUCCCUACUCUAGAUCGAUCCCAAAAGGCAGCACCAAUGCCUCAGCAAGUUCAGGCGUCAUGAUCACUUCAGACUGCUUGUUACAGGCCAACAAGCAUUCUCCGUUGUGGUUCCGUAUCGCGACGCUGAUCCCCAUCCUUCGUGAGCUCGAGAACAGUGCAGCAUCCAUGUUAAUAACAACCGAUCCGUCCGACGGUGGAGUUCAUAGAGCAACUGAUAGAGAAGACUCACACCUAGAGGGCAAACCAGUUUUGGGAAAAUGCUGAAAUGGAGGUUUGCUGUCCGGUUGUGCAAACUGCAGGAGCUCUGCUCCAUGAUUAACAAUGGCAAGGAUACCAAGACGACUACGGGACUUGGACCUUACAAUUCAUGAUCCAGAACAUGUGCAGCUUGGUGAAGAAAAUCUGCAAGGUCCUCCAGAGAUUGAUAAUAUAGUACCAGGAAGAUCUCAUGAAUCCACUAGCCAAAUCAAGAUAAUUUGCAAGUCUCGAUGUGCAGGAGCCACGAACUACUAUGCAGGAGCUGCAGCAAACCAAAUCAAAAGAGGGUUGUGGCAGUGCGCCUUUACCACAUGAACAUGUGAUCACUAAGAAUGCCCAUGCUGAAAAUAAUCUUCUCGUGCAGCAAGGCGGUCCUGAACCAAGUUUACGACUUCAAGUCGCUAACCAGAAUGAUCAUGCUCAAAAUAGCAAUGCAACCAAGCCAUGUGGUCAUCACCAAGUCACUAAGCAGGUAAAAAUAGUUAAGCCAACUCCUCCAGCACAACCACAAAGCAUUGGGCAGUGAGGAGUUGAAAAGUGAGUGCAUUAAAGGAGCUAGGAGUGGCUAGUUAGUUGAGGAUUUGAAAAGGGGGUGCACUGGACGAGUCAGGAGCAGUUGAUGAAUCUAUCUUUGAAUGAACAAAUAUUCUGGAUUAUGUAUAGAUUUUAGCUUCAUAGAGAAAAAUAGUUCCAGUCUAUAUGAUCUUUUCUUAUUUAUUUUCAACAUUGCAUGUUUCAUAUGAAUGUUUGAUAUUAUUCAGCUGUGAACUCCACGUACUUUUAGUGGAGACAUUGUUCGUGCUAAAUGCAUUGGAUGUUGUUACCGAGGCUGCCAAUGUUUGCAAAUGCAAUCUAUGAAGUGGAAUGAUGCCUUCAUAUCA